CUUGGGAGCAGUUGACAGUUGGAUUAGGUGGUUUCCUAAAGUUGUCAACCAAAGAUUCAGAGUCUGAGUGACCACCUCCCCUAUCCUCACCUCCGGGACAGGGAUUUCUUCAGUCCAUAGGACCCCAGGCUCCAUCUAACUUGAUAAUUUAUGAGAUUGUUUUUUCACUUAAGAGAAUAUUAUCUGCAGUGUCUCUGAUUUUUUUUUCUUAAGGGACUCAGAGAAGGACGUGAUGAAUUAUUCAGAGACUUUUCUCUGUGCAACAACUUGCAAAAAGACAGACAACUUGAUACAAAUUACGAUUCUAAAAUUGUUAGUAAUAUAUUUUAUUCAUGCGUUGUAUGUACAACGGAAGACUUCCUGCUGACAUUUCUUAGACAUAUCACUCAUGAUCCCAUAGUCACUCUUUGAAUGGGUGUAGAAUCCAACGCAAAAAAAAGAAAAAGAAAAAAAGAAAUAAAAAGAUGUACACAGC
rnacentral:lncRNA from 1 species